AACGAACGCUGGCGGCAGGCUUAACACAUGCAAGUCGAGCGGGCGUAGCAAUACGUCAGCGGCAGACGGGUGAGUAACGCGUGGGAACGUACCUUUUGGUUCGGAACAACCCAGGGAACGUUAGGGCGUAAUACCGGAUAAGCCCUUACGGGAAGGAUUAUCGCCGAAGAUCGGCCCGCGUCUGAUUAGCUAGUUGGUGGGGUAAGUGGCUCACCAAGGCGACGAUCAGUAGCUGGUCUGAGAGGANGAUCAGCCACAUUGGGACUGAGACACGGCCCAAACUCCUACGGGAGGCAGCAGUGGGGAAUAUUGGACAAUGGGCGCAAGCCUGAUCCAGCCAUGCCGCGUGAGUGAUGAAGGCCCUAGGGUUGUAAAG
rnacentral:rRNA from 1 species